GGGACGGUAAUCACACCGCAGGCCUGAUAAGCGUGAGGUCGGUAGUUCAAAUCUACCCAGGCCCA
rnacentral:tRNA from 1 species